GUCCCAGACUCCUACGGGAGGCAGCAGUGGGGGAUAUUGCACAAUGGGGGAAACCCUGAUGCAGCGACGCCGCGUGGGUGAAGAAGCGCCUCGGCGCGUAAAGCCCUGUCAGCAGGGAAGAAAAUGACGGUACCUGAAGAAGAAGCCCCGGCUAACUACGUGCCAGCAGCCGCGGUAAUACGUAGGGGGCAAGCGUUAUCCGGAUUUACUGGGUGUAAAGGGGGCGCAGACGGCGAUGCAAGCCAGGAGUGAAAGCCCGGGGCUCAACCGCGGGACUGCUUUUGAAACUGUGUAGCUAGAGUGCAGGAGAGGUAAGUGGAAUUCCUAGUGUAGCGGUGAAAUGCGUAGAUAUUAGGAGGAACACCAGUGGCGAAGGCGGCUUACUGGACUGUAACUGACGUUGAGGCUCGAAAGCGUGGGGAGCAAACAGGAUUAGAUACCCGAGUA
rnacentral:rRNA from 1 species